GUUAUUUCCCUAUUUUUCUCACACGCCCACUCUCCUCAUUUUCUUUUUCCAAUGUCGUUUCAAAUUUGUACUAGUUCGUACAUUUCCAGCUCACUGGAGCCUUAUCCAUUAAGCAAUUUCCAAAAAAAUGGUUUCUCCCACAUCGAAGAUACUCUCAGAAUUGGGAGAUUUGGGGUGCUAUAAAAAGCCCCUCUCCUCACUGUUCAAAGGACGGAUUUGGAGACUUGAGAGUUCCCCUAAAAAGGUUGUGGAAUUCUCGUCUUAGCAGUUUAAAAUUUUGAGUUUGUUCGAGUUGAAGAGGUGGAAUCAUCUCUGUCCAAACUUGUCGUCGUCCGUUUCGCUGCCCAGAACAAAUUAGUCAUCACCAUCUAUAUGAGUCACUAAGAACUGAACAAACAUUCUCUACAUCACAUUCAGGGAUUAGAACCUCUCUUGAAAAGAUUUGUCUGGCUCUUUCUAAUAACCAAGAUAUUCCCAAGAGUCAGUUGAUACAAGUUUUGUCAGAACGAGGUUUCAUUUCAUGGCUUGUUCCAUAUUGCAAUGAUCAAUCACAUCCCUUGAUUAGCUACACAUUGUUGCAAGUAGGACAUGUUUCAAUAGUAGGUUAGACUGGAAGUAGGACAUCAUAAUUAGACGGAGGAUUUCGAGAAGAAUGAUGAUAAUUUUAGUUUGUAUUAACUAUGGAGCGAUGCUCAAGAGAAGGAAUUUGAGUCAACUAAAGCACUCAAUUCUUAGGAUGAUUGAUUUUAUCGAAACAUUACUUUAUAAUUUAGUCUCUUUUUUCGUAUUAUUAGAAGCAGAGAAAUGGUUAGCAAAAAAGGUAGAUAGAAAAGAGAGAAAAAUGUUUUUUUUUCAUUGUAAAUGUGACAUGAAAUAUCAAUUCAAUAACUUUGUGUAUUUA